rnacentral:misc_RNA from 1 species
AACGCACGAGACCUGCGGACCUGCGGAGGGAUCAUUAAUGAGAAACUGCCCCUCGCGGGUAGAUCUCCCACCCUUUGUAAACUUACCUUUGUUGCUUUGGCAGGCCCGUCUCCGGACCGCCGGCUUCGGCUGGCCAGUGCCUGCCAGAGGAUUCUAAAACUCUGUCUGUCAGUGUCGUCUGAGUCUAUAUACAAUCGUUAAAACUUUCAACAAUGGAUCUCUAGAUCGGAAGAGCACACG